rnacentral:rRNA from 1 species
UACGUAGGGGGCAAGCGUUGUCCGGAUUUAUUGGGUUUAAAGGGUGCGUAGGCGGUCCUAUAAGUCAGUUGUGAAAUACGGCAGCUUAACUGUCGAGGUGCAAUUGAUACUGCAGGACUUGAGUACAGACGAGGUAGGCGGAAUUGACGGUGUAGCGGUGAAAUGCUUAGAUAUCGUCAAGAACACCGAUAGCGAAGGCAGCUUACUAGACUGUAACUGACGCUGAGGCACGAAAGUGUGGGGAUCAAACAGG